GUUUGUCUUUCUCUAAUCCAACAUCUUUUUCCCAUGAGCCCUGAUGAAAAGGAAGGAUGAGGUGUUUAUUCACCCAGGAUCUACACAGUGCUGUGGGUGUUGGCUAGGCCCAUUGGUUUUAAACCUUGAUGGUGAGACUUUGGAUGGUCCGACAAGAACUUUGUGUCUACUUUGGUGUAACCCC